rnacentral:lncRNA from 1 species
GUCAGCCUCUCACUCUCUACCCGCUGGGCGGUACCCCGCAUCUCGCUCUGGCCGCCCCAGAGGUUCGCGGCUUCUGGACCUGCUGUGCCCCUCUCCAGCCUGGAUCAGGACGGAGAACACCCCCGAAACCCACCUCACCAGCACAGCCGGCGGACCCUUCCGGAGGUGGCCGCAGAGACUAGCCAACUUGCGCGCCCGCCGACCCGGACCACAGCUCCCAGCACACCUCAAGGGCCCACGCCCGCCAGGACUACAAUUCCCGGCGUCCUCCGGAAGCUCAAGUGUACCCAGGCGCGGUGCCUGCUGGGAAUUGUAGUUGACGUUGGUCAGCACGGAGGCCACAGGAUCCCAGCCCGGCCUUUGUGGGACUGAGGUGGCGCUGAGUGGGAGAGCAGCAGGCGAUGCGCGAAAGGCGGGACUUGGAGAUAAAUACUGAGCACCCACAACAGGCAGCCAGCACCACUGCAGAUUGGAUACUGCAAUGAUGAUAAGCAUGGCCUGCCUUUAUGGAGGUUCUGGAUGUUCCUGUGGAUAACCUCAAGGAGCACGGGACCUGGGACAUGACUGCCCCCAGCAUUCCUUCUGGCGGCAGACAGAGUUUGUCAGUUCGCCAACAUCCUGCUUUCAUGAGAACAGUUUGCUGUUUGCUCACAGAGCCUCCAGUGGUAUACUGAGUUGGUCACGACCCUCAUUCCUUCGGCCUCCAACAUCUCCCCUUUUGUUUUUGCAUUAAUUGAAUAAAGGUAAUUUCAGGCUGUGCAGCUUUCAAUUGCCGGUUGGUGGUUCACCCGAUCCUAUAGACUAUGAGCAAAAAAACAGAGACAUAACAACAUUAUUCUUGUAAUUAUUAUAAAAGAGACAUUGAAGUUAUGUUUAAGGUAGGUCCAAGGGUUGAGGCUUUUUUUUUUUUUUUUUUUUUUUUGAGAUGGAGUCUCGCUCUGUCACCCAGGCUGGAGUGCAGUGGCGCCAUCUUGGCUCACUGCAAGCUCUGCCUCCCGGGUUCACGUCAUUCUCCCACCUCAGCCUCCUGAUUAGCUGGGACUACAGGUGCCCGCCACCACACCCAGCUA